rnacentral:RNase_P_RNA from 1 species
GCAGUGGUUCGGUUUGUCGCUGGUCUUUUUCGAAAGAUCGGAGGAAAGUCCGGGCAACAGAGAGCAUCCUGCUUGUUAAUGGCAAGCUGUCCGUGAGGGUAGGUUAGCGUAGAAGAAAAUAACUGCCUAUUUUUCGCUUCAUUUUCGGAUGGAGUAAAAAAAAUAGGUGAGGGUGAGAAGGUGAGGUAAGAGCCCACCAGCAGCAUGGUGACAUGUCUGGCUGUACGCUUCGGGAGUUGAAAGUUCAUGUAAACCAGCGUUAUGAGGGCUGCUCGCUCCAGCUGGAGGGUAGAACGAUAGAGCUGUUGGGUGACCAUCGGCGUAGAUAAAUGACAAGCACUUGUUAUUGCGUCUUAACUUGUUAAGAUACGGAUGAUGAGUACAAAACCCGGCUCAUAGAGCCACUGCACAU